rnacentral:lncRNA from 1 species
AGAAAGAUUGUUUUCGAUACACUCUCCGGCUCAAAAAGGCAUAAACUAAAGGUAUGUACCAAAAUAUUAUUUAAUGAUAUUGUGAUCAUGAACAGUGGAAGAUCCAAAAUUUAGGCGUUGUGGGUUCUCGAAAGGUUCGAACACAUGUAUUGACACCCAAAGCGUUCAGAUUCCACCUGAAAAUCAAAGCACACAGCUAUCUUCUUGGUUUCGAGGGUGAUUUUUUUUCAUCUUGGAUCAAUCUUUACACAUUUCUUAUAUAAAUAUACCUAAUCUGCAUCGAAUUUAAAAGAUGUUAGCCACCAUCAAUUUGAACCUAGGUCCGUCCCUAGUUGUGAACAUAUCAUGUGAAAAGUUUAUACAUUCUUCUAAAAUGGAAUAACAAAUAAAGAGAAACAAAUUGAAACAAAGUAAUAUCUUUUUUUGUUUGUUUGUUGAAACCUUUGACUAUCACGCGUGCAUUGUAGCUAUCAAUACUCCUAUUAGACUUUUGACUUUUUUCUUGUAUAACUACUUGAACCACUCCUUAUUAAUUACACAAACAAGAACAAAGGAAAUUGCAACAAUUAAUUAGGGUCCAAAAAGCAUGGAAACUUCUAACUACUAAUAAUACAUUCUAGCCAUGUAUUUCAUCUUUAUAGUUUGGCUUUCUAUAUAUAUAAUUCAGUAUUCUAUAUUUGCUCUAUCUCAUAAUUUGUUUGCUAAGUUCUUGAGGUCUUGGGUACUUUCUGAUUCCAAAAAAGCCUCAUUUCCACCCCCUAUAAUUAGCUCUCUUCCUUUGGCCCCACAUAAAAAGAACCGUCAUGUACGGUGUACCAAUUUCAUUUGAUCCCUAGGCGUGAAUUAGAUCUUGUGUCAAAAAUCAUGGAGUCAUUUGAUAGUGUAUGUAAGAAUUGUGGAAAAUAUGAUAUAUUAAUAAUGAUUUUAUUAGUAAUAUUAUUUGUGUUACUUAUGCUGAAAUUUUUUUUCUCAUCUAAUACGUAUGCCUAACUAGUAGUAUUUUCGAUUCAAUACUACACAUAUAAUAUGUAUGCCAUUAUUUCAUUUUUAUCUGAGAUCGAAUAAUAAUUUGUCAUAUUAAAAAAUCUUUUAAAUUUUAUCUCAUUUUAUCCUUAAUGACUUAUCAUGCUUUCGAGGACUUAUGUUUGCAGUAUUUUUUUUUUUUUAAAUAAUUAUGGUGUUCGGAAACGAAUUCUAAAUAAGGAGGAAAAAAGAAUUGAUUUUUUUGGUACAUAUGAAAAACACUUUUGAAAUUAAUAGUCAUUAAUUUGUCAUGAUGACAGCGACACAUUUGUAUGAUCAUGAUAAUAUGUAAUUAGAGAUGAAAGUAAAAGGUUUGAGUUAAAUGAGUUCGAAUGAGCCUUUUAAUAUGACAAAUUAUUAUUAGAUCGAAAAGGAAAUAGUGUCAUAAAAUACAGAUUGUUUAAGGAAUAUAUAGUUAGUAUAAAUAUAUUUUUUACAUUAUUAUGUAAUUUUAACCUGUUGUAGGAGGUAUUGUAUCUAAUUAGUAUUUUCAAAAUCCUAGAUUACACAUUUUAAGUGUGUGUAUGUAUAUAUAUAUUAUCUGGAUGAUUUUUAAGGUUGAAUAUGUGUUGAUCGCUUCUUAAAUUUGUUCAUAAGUUUUUUUAGACACUCAAAUUACGAUAUGUUUUGAUUGCGCCCUUGAACAUAUGAUAAAGUAAUGUUCAUAUUAGACAUGUUAGACUUAAAAUUUUUGAAAAGCUUAUGUACAUAUUCUCAAGCACUCAUUCGGCUACUUUAAAAUAUGUCACCUCCUUUGAUUAGAUCCAUUAACCUCAAUAAGUUGUAUAAAAUCUCGGACAUGCUUAGUAGAGACAAAAAUAUUAGGUUAUAUCUUCAUGUCUGUCUUAGCCUUGGUGGACAGAGUUACCUGAUACUUGUUGCAGAUGGGAGGAGACAUAUGUCCUAUAAAAUUAUCGAGGUUUGCACAAACUAGUCCAGAUACAACGAUCAUAAAAGAAAAAUCAGGCACGUUCAGAAAUCGAGAUUGAUGAGUCUGAUUAAAUGAGUUGAUAUAUUUUGUGUUUUAACUUUUUCCUUUUAUCUCCCCUAUAUAUAAGCUCCCAUUGUUUUUGUUCACUUAGUGACUUUGAACUCAUAAUCUCCAAAUUAAAAGUGAAGAAUGAUUUCUCUCUGAACAACCUCUUCUUAUUAUUUUAUAUAUUUAAUUUAACUACUUAAUAGACGCUUAAGUUUUUAAGCUUAAAGGGUGUAAUAUGAAACAUAGUGCGUACAAAAAAUGAAAAGUAAAUAGCUUGACAAGUCAGUAGUCAUUUUGACAUGCUGACCAACCACAACAAAGUAUUAGGAAACGAGUAAACUAAUUUCUUCUCCGACCAUAUUGCGGCACAGUCCACAGUAACGUGUACCCAUUGAUCAUAUCCUUAAUCGAUUUCAAUUUAUUUGUCUGAUUUGACUCGGCAUAAAGCAUAAGAAAGUGACUUUUUUUUUUUUUAUUUUGCAGCCGUAAAUUGAAGGUACGACAAUCAUAACAUACUUAGUAUAUUCUUGUCAAAUGAGAUUCCAAGGUAAGUACAUGCAGUCCAUACCACUACCUCAUAGUUGAGGUAGAGAGGCUAUUUUCGAUAGAUCCCCGACUCAAAAAGGCGUAAACUAAAGGUAUGUACCUAAAUAUUAUUUGAUGAUACAAGCAGAGGAAAGAGAAAAAGCCAAAGCAUCUCUCGAAACUAUCUCAUUAUCCAAACCAUGGCGUACUAUGCCCGGAAAAAAGAAGGAAGAAUCUCCGAUAGACUCCCAUGAAUUCCUGCCUCCGCGUUGUAUAUAGAAUUUAGGUACCAAACGCGGGAUAUCCUGUUAAUACAUAAUGCAAGGAAGGCCCGUUAAAGAAGGAUUGACAACAACUGAGACUGUGUCUCUUAUGAAAUGAGUUGGAGCAUAAGUCUAAACACUACUCAAAUCUUGUCUUCAAUGAUGUAAACUAAGGUGCUCCAGCUGGGCUAACACCUUCCUUGGAACCAAGUGGAAGGCGGGCUAGACCUGCCGCCGAGACGAUGAUGAAAGAAAAUCCGGGGUCAAAAAGUCUUCCGUGGAAUAAGAAGCAAGGUUUAGUGAAACAAGACAAAGAAUGAAACACAGGUGUAUCGAAAGAGAUUGUGGUCGUGAACGGUGGUAGAUCCAGAAUUUAGGCAUUGAGGAUUUGCGGAAGGUUCGAACACAUGUAUUGGCACCCAAUGACCCAAACUUUAAGGUUCCGCCUAAAAAUCAAAACACUCAGCUAUUUUUUUGAUUUUAAGGGUGGUUUUUUUCAUCUUAGAUCAAUUUUUAUACAUUUUUUAUAUAAGUAUACCUAGUCUGUAUCGAGUUUAACGGGUGUCGUAGUAUCAUCAAUUUGAGCUAGGUUCACCCCUAGUCGUGAACAUAUUAUGUGGAAAGUUAAUACAUUCUGUUAAAAUGAAUUAAAAAAUAGAGUAAGACAAAUAAAUUGGAACGAAGUAAUGUCCUUUUUUUUGUUUGUUGGUUUCAGUCUUUGGCCAUCAUGCCGAACAUCGUAGCUAUCGAUAGUCCUGUUAGACUUUGACUUUUUUCUUGUAUAACUACUUGGAUCACUCCUUAUUAAUAACACAAACAAGAACAAAGGAAACUGCAACAAUUAAUUAGAGUCCAAAAAGCAUGGAAACUUCUAACUACUAACUAUACAUUCUAGCC